CUACGGGUGGCAACAGUGGGGAAUAUUGCACAACGGGCGCAAGCCUGAUGCAGCCAUGCCGCGUGUAUGAAGAAGGCCUUCGGGUUGUAAAGUACUUUCAGCGGGGAGGAAGGGAGUAAAGUUAAUACCUUUGCUCAUUGACGUUACCCGCAGAAGAAGCACCGGCUAACUCCGUGCCAGCAGCCGCGGUAAUACGGAGGGUGCAAGCGUUAAUCGGAAUUACUGGGCGUAAAGCGCACGCAGGCGGUUUGUUAAGUCAGAUGUGAAAUCCCCGGGCUCAACCUGGGAACUGCAUCUGAUACUGGCAAGCUUGAGUCUCGUAGAGGGGGGUAGAAUUCCAGGUGUAGCGGUGAAAUGCGUAGAGAUCUGGAGGAAUACCGGUGGCGAAGGCGGCCCCCUGGACGAAGACUGACGCUCAGGUGCGAAAGCGUGGGGAGCAAACAGGAUUAGAUACCCCGGUAGUC
rnacentral:rRNA from 1 species